UACCAGCACCCCGAGUGGUCGGGACGUUUAUUGGGCCUAAAGCAUCCGUAGCCGGUUCUACAAGUCUUCCGUUAAAUCCACCUGCUUAACAGAUGGGCUGCGGAAGAUACUAUAGAGCUAGGAGGCGGGAGAGGCAAGCGGUACUCGAUGGGUAGGGGUAAAAUCCGUUGAUCCAUUGAAGACCACCAGUGGCGAAGGCGGCUUGCCAGAACGCGCUCGACGGUGAGGGAUGAAAGCUAGGGGAGCGAACAGG
rnacentral:rRNA from 1 species